rnacentral:lncRNA from 1 species
ACGAGGGGGUAUUCCGUCCGGUGGUACCUGAUAAUAUAGCGUACAUUUAUGUCAAGGAAUUAUUAUAUAACAUUUAGUAGCAUGUGGAUUAGUACACGUAAAAUGGCACAGUAUAGAAUGUUACCACGAUGUUUUUGUUUUACAUUGUUAUAAUUAAGUUAUAAAUAUAUACUGUACGUAAAGUAUUUGACGGUAAUGGGAAAACAUUACUCGGGUCGUGACUUUAUUAAAUUCACCGUUGAUAGUUCUCACCAAGGAAUGGAGAUGUGAGUGACUGACUGUAGGGUAUCUUGUUAUUUCCAUCUUGGAAGAAAACUUUAUUGACUACGAUACUGCCACCGUAGGCUGUGAGUUGCUAUCAUAACUUUUUGGUUCGUUAGCUUUUCACAAAUUCUGUGAUCCACUUAUGUCUAUGGUGUAAAUACACAAGAGCAGUUUAUCUCGGAUAAUUCCCUCGUUUGGUUGUGACGGUGUUUACCGGAGAAGAAGUUCGGGGUCCCGGAAAGCACGAAUCUGGCAGUUUUGAGCUGGGAAACUUUGGCUAUAUUUCAUGAAAUGGACUUUGUUUGAAUAAUGUUGAAGAUUACACCAGAGUUUUCAAUGUAUCCUUGUACUAUGACGCCAAGGUGAAGAACAAAAUGCUGAAAAUUUGAAGUUAUUCGAAUGAGCGGGUUCGGUGAGCAGAGAGCAAAUAAUUUGACGGUUCGGCAGCGAGUCGGCGGCAAGGUGGGGUAUUUAAAGGUUGAACCGGCAAGGAUGCAUCAGUUACAAUCAGAUCCUUGUGUCUGGUGGUAGAAUUCGUGUAUAGCUACAUUAGAAGAUGCAGUUUGUGAAGAAGAAAAGAAAAUUGUAUAUAAAGUUGUGCCAAGACAUUUGUUCGUUCGGCUGUUGGUUUCCUGCACUUGAACGGUUUUCUUAAACGUUUUUCUGAGGUCUUUAACACAAGUCGUACAAUUCAUAGAUGUAUUUGACUUGAGGCCUGUGAAACCUAUUUAAGAAGCGUGGUUAACUAGCGAGAUUUUGAAUGUGUUCAUAAUAUUGUGGUGAAAACGGUAGUUUACUUGAAAUAAAAUUAAUGUGAGUUUGUAUCGUGCUAAGUGAUUCGAAAAUUUUAAGUGGAUUGUGUUGACAUUUCGUGACGGAAAGUGAAUUCACGAGAGCAUGAAGAUUAUGUAAUUAGAUGUAACAACUUGGAGAUUGAAAUAUUCUCUCGGCCUGACUCGAGCUAAAGUUGUCUGGAUACCAACUUGAAAUCAGUGUAUAUUAUAAUAUUUGAGAAAAAUGUAUUUAUGCGUGUACAUGGUUGUGGUGGGAUAUUGAAAAUCAUUGAGAAGAAUCAAAGAUGCAGUGUGUAAAGUAGUAAACAAUAUUGGUUUGUGUUUUUAAGAUUGGAUAUAGUGUUGCCAUAAAUCAGAGAGAAAGUGGCGAAGAAGAUAACUCUCCCGACAGCGACCGGAGAUAUAAGAGGAGUAAAGACUGCAGCAGCAGCAGCAGGAAGCUUGAAGGACCAGCAACACAUCUCGGUAUGACCAGUACAGACUCAACUGUACACACUGUCCACUGAGUGUCCAGACCCAUAUAUUAUGACGGCACCAAUGACAACUGAUGAAACACAGCUGACCUGUGGGAGGUGUUUCGCAUAUUAUCCGAGUCAACAGAAGGAGUUCGUCUUUACGAUCAGCUCCUUCCGACCAUCUCCGAGAUGUCAUCCGGAGAGUUGAAGUUUGCUCUUGCCAUCCGGUCUCUUCUCCAGAGUAUCGUCAGAGGUACAAUGAUUUAUAUUAAGAAUAUCUUCAAUAUAAUUAGCCCUAGCAUUUCAAGUGGAUGAAUGUUUAAUUAGUAAGAAUCAUGAUACCACUUAAAAAGUUGUCAAUUUGCUUUAAAAGGGUAUUUGUGGGGGAUAAAUGUAAAGGUGUACAUAUAAAUGAAAAUAUUGAGUGUUUUAUUAUGAGGUACAGCACAGUACAAGCUUUUAGGUAUGAUUUUGUCACCGCUAAAUCUGCAUUACACAUUUUGUAAUCUACUUUUAUUUCCAAAAUCUGGUUAAACUGUCUGGGUUUUUCUCACAGUAGGAGCAGAAAUAGGCACUCCUUGAUUAAUCACGCCUCCAUCACUGUGUCAAGCUCUGCUGACCUGGCUCUGUCAAUGGAAUGUGGCUGUGUACUAUUUACACUUUGGAGGUCACAUUGAAGCAACACUUAGCAAUGAUAGGGAAUUACGCAGUGCAGUAUAUAUUUUAUUUCAAUAUUGUUGCUGCUAGUGAGUUGUACUAAACAAGUAUCCACUAUGUAUUUCAUAACAUUGUAAUUUGUUUUGGCAUUCUCAAUUUUUGUUUCGGAUAUACUGUAUAUAUAGGGAUGCUGUAAUCUAAAAUUAGGUUUUGCAUACAUCAAGAGUACGUUUGUGGCUCCUCACGAGUUGUACUUGCUCAGAAAUAUAUACUGUACAGUAAUGUUAUAUACAGGUUGCACUUAAAAAAAUCCAAACAUCAUUUAUCCUCAAACUGUGAACAUCCAAAAGUGAUCGCAUUGAUUAUAAAAAUUUACCGCGCUGCCAGAUGAUGGCGUUUCAGCACACUAAGCUAAGAUAUCAUCACCGGGGCAUUUUCUCGUAGUCGGUCACUGAGUUACACCCUCCGACUCGCCGUCACCCGCACUUACGAACGGGAUCCCAAUACAUUCACCUCAAAAAGUUGUAAUUAAACUGUCAUUAUUUUCAUCAUUGUUUAACAGCACUUUAUGUUAUGUAACCUAAAGUAUGGGUCCAGGAACUUAUCCCUGUUGUAAGUUGCGGACGGCCUGUAUUAUUGUUAACAUUAUAUUUUGAGUUCCUUAGUUUAGUGUGUUUGUUAUACCUGUACAUGCAGUAUUAUAUAUUAGUUUAUAGUUGUCAUAUAUGUAGUAUUUUAUUUGGUGCUUAAUGAAAUAUUAGGGUUUUUAAUAAUGACCUUGAGUUAGCCAACAAGUUCAGUUAUCUGAAACAUUUUGGAUUUUUGAAGUGGAACCUAUAUUUCAACUCCCUCCUCCAAAUAUUAAUGUACUAUAGGAACAGAAAUGGUUGAUUUAAAUUAUUGCUCCAAACUGCACCACACCAUAGUGCCAUCUUUGGCAUAUACAGUAAAUGAACUUUUGUAAACUGUACUGUACAUAUUUAAUGUCACAUGAUGUGACAAUGUUUGUUUGGUCAAGUGCAUGUCAUUAGUGUAACGGUCGGUGCCAAAUCAUCGUUAUUUGGCGCCAUUCAUUUUUAGAUAUACCUGUAUCUCAUUUAUGAGACAUUGUUUAUCUAAGCCAAGAGUUGUUACGUCUUGCAUAUUUCAUCUCCGUCGUCAGAAAAUGUAACGGCGCGAUGUUGAGCAAUUUGUUGCCAGACUAUGGAUGAUAGAUAGGAUCUGUACAUAUCAUAUUAAGUCUUCAACACAAGAUAUUUAUUGUCAACUCUAAAUUAAAUAUGUUGUGAAUAAAACUUUUCAAUUUGUGUUACCAAAGUGAGAAUAAAAGAUUGUCUCCGGCCA